UACAUGUGGGGCAAGCGUUGUUCGGAAUUACUGGGCAUAAAGGGUGCGUAGGUGGUUUGUUAAGUCAGGGGUGAAAUCCCGCGGCCCAACCGUGGAACUGCCUUUGAUACUGGCGAACUUGAGUGCGUGAGGGGUAGGGGGAACGAGCAGUGUAGCGGUGAAAUGCGUAGAUAUCGUUUGGAACGCCAAUGGUGAAAACAGCUAGCUGGGGAUGUGCCGACGCUGAGACACGAAAGCCAGGGGAGCGAACGGG
rnacentral:rRNA from 1 species